UUGCCAUUGGGAAAUCACCAGGAAAGCCUGGAAGGGGGUUGGUUUUGGCUAGGAAUUCACCCUUUGCCCCAAGAGCAGGUGUGACAGGCACUGCCUGGCACACGGGCAGGGAGCUGUGUGCAGGCUGUGGACCACAGAGGAAGCACAGGUUUCCCUUUGCAGGACUGAAGGACCACUUGGUUAUCACCGUGUGCCACCAGAGAAGACCCCCAGUGCUCUCCAGAAAGCCUCUCUGUCUGCUCUCCUGGGGCCAUUUCUAAUAAAGCCAACUACAGAAAAACAGAUUCAGCUUCCUCCAGAUGCAUGGAGACAAGAAGUAGAAGUUUUGCCAGUUCUCUGCAUCCUCCUCUGACUCUGCCCCAGUGAGCCCUUCCUGCUGGCACUUCAGGAUCCACAGUGCAGCUCCAUCGACCAGGUUCUUCCACUGGCAGCAGACCAGGCGACACACCAGCACCAGAUCCACGGCAGGAAUUUCAGAGGCCCCGCCUGCUGAUGGAGCACCGCCGCUCUCCUCGUUAGCGAGGAUCCCCCGCACUCGGGAGAGGGAAGGAGGUACCUUCCCUUUCCCACCGCAGUUCACAGCAUCCUCCCCCGGACCGGUCCC